rnacentral:rRNA from 1 species
CCAGUAGUCAUAUGCUUGUCUCAAAGAUUAAGCCAUGCAGGUCUAAGUAUAAGCAAUUAUACAGCGAAACUGCGAAUGGCUCAUUAUAUAAGUUAUCGUUUAUUUGAUAGUACCUUACUACUUGGAUAACCGUGGUAAUUCUAGAGCUAAUACAUGCUAAAAAUCCCGACUUCGGAAGGGAUGUAUUUAUUAGAUUAAAAACCAAUGCCCUCUGGGCUCUCUGGUGAUUCAUGAUAACUUCUCGAAUCGCAUGGCCUUGCGCCGGCGAUGGUUCAUUCAAAUUUCUUCCCUAUCAACUUUCGAUGUUUGGGUAGUGGCCAAACAUGGUUGCAACGGGUAACGGAGGGUUAGGGCUCGACCCCGGAGAAGGAGCCUGAGAAACGGCUACUACAUCCAAGGAAGGCAGCAGGCGCGCAAAUUACCCAAUCCCGAUUCGGGGAGGUAGUGACAAUAAAUACUGAUACAGGGCUCUUUUGGGUCUUGUAAUUGGAAUGAGUACAAUUUAAAUCCCUUAACGAGGAACAAUUGGAGGGCAAGUCUGGUGCCAGCAGCCGCGGUAAUUCCAGCUCCAAUAGCGUAUAUUAAAGUUGUUGUGGUUAAAAAGCUCGUAGUUGAACCUUGGGCCUGGUUGGCCGGUCCGCCUCACCGCGUGUACUGGUCCGGCCGGGCCUUUCCCUCUGUGGAACCCCAUGCCCUUCACUGGGUGUGGCGGGGAAACAGGACUUUUACUUUGAAAAGAUUAGAGUGCUCCAGGCAGGCCUAUGCUCGAAUACAUUAGCAUGGAAUAAUAAAAUAGGACGUGCGGUUCUAUUUUGUUGGUUUCUAGGACCGCCGUAAUGAUUAAUAGGGACAGUCGGGGGCAUCAGUAUUCAAUUGUCAGAGGUGAAAUUCUUGGAUUUAUUGAAGACUAACUACUGCGAAAGCAUAUGCCAAGGAUGUUUUCAUUAAUCAGGAACGAAAGUUAGGGGAUCGAGACGAUCAGAUACCGUCGUAGUCUUAACCAUAAACUAUGCCGACUAGGAUCGGACCGAAUGGUUAUUUUUUGACCUCGUUC